rnacentral:lncRNA from 1 species
GGUUGUUCCAUGCCUCUCCAUGACCUUGCUUGACAUUCCGAGGAAGCUACCACAUAUCCGCUGAAGUUGUGGAUUGAAAAUGAGGUUAAACCUAUGGUUGCAAUUGAAUAAACUCUAAACGUCCCUCAAUUAUAGUUACAUUCUUUUUUGUUUUCGUACGUCCCUCGAUAUUCAAUUUCCGUGGGAGCCAUAUUGAUAGAAGAAGUGUAAAAUUACAGUUACUUUAGUAACAUUACACAUCGAUGAUAUA